AGUGAACGCUGGCGGUAGGCCUAACACAUGCAAGUCGAACGGCAGCACAGUAAGAGCUUGCUCUUACGGGUGGCGAGUGGCGGACGGGUGAGGAAUACAUCGGAAUCUACUUUUUCGUGGGGGAUAACGUAGGGAAACUUACGCUAAUACCGCAUACGACCUACGGGUGAAAGCAGUGGAUCUUCGGACCUUGCGCGAUUGAAUGAGCCGAUGUCGGAUUAGCUAGUUGGCGGGGUAAAGGCCCACCAAGGCGACGAUCCGUAGCUGGUCUGAGAGGAUGAUCAGCCACACUGGAACUGAGACACGGUCCAGACUCCUACGGGAGGCAGCAGUGGGGAAUAUUGGGCAAUGGGCGAAAGCCUGAUCCAGCAAUACCGCGUGAGUGAAGAAGGUCUUCGGGUUGUAAAGCCCUUUUAUUAGGAAAGAAAAACAGCGGGUUAAUCCCCCGCUGUUCUGACGGUACCCAAAGAGUAAGCACCGGCUAACUUCGUG
rnacentral:rRNA from 1 species